UGGGAACCUUCCCUAUGGUUCGGAAUAGCUCAGGGAAACUUGGGGUAAUACCGGAUAAGCCCUUCGGGGGAAAGAUUUAUCGCCAUUGGAUGGGCCCGCGUCGGAUUAGCUAGUUGGUGAGGUAACGGCUCACCAAGGCGACGACGGGUAGCUGGUCUGAGAGGAUGGCUAGCCACAUUGGGACUGAGACACGGCCCAGACUCCUACGGGAGGCAG
rnacentral:rRNA from 1 species